UAACUGAAAUUCAAAAAAAAAAAUGAUAUUACGCAUUUGUUUUGUUUCAAAGUUGUCAAACAUUUCAUUUUUGGUUGUACGUUUAAACUCAGGAUGGAAACAGAAGCUGCUAAAAAAGGAUAGGAAUGAGUUUUAAAGAUCUGAGCGAGGAAGAAGUUAGAAAACCAACUACAGACGAAAUCAUGUGAACUUGAUAUUCUACCAACAAAAGUGCUAAAAUCGUACUUAGAUGAGCUGUUGCCUGUUAUUACCGAAUUGGUUAAUUUGUCGUUGAGCGACGGCAUCAUUCCAACAAAAUGGAAACAGGCAAUUGUACAUUUACUGGAGUUUUAGUCAACAGAAUAGGCUUGAUGGUGACAGGAGUGCUUGGUACCCUUGUGGUUAGUUUAAGUUUGAUGGUGUGCUUCUUCGCUUCUUCCUUGACGUAUCUGAUAAUACCCAUUGGCGUGUUUAGUGGUUUUGGAUACUCUUUUGCAUUUCUCCGGUAGGAAGCAGUUACUAUAUUUGUCUGUACAUACGUCAGGGGCUGGAAUAGGGGGCAUGAUUUAUCCCUUUAUGAUAAGAUAUCUAAGGAUACAUUAGAGACGUAACGGGCUCAUAUACAGCAAUAUUCUACACAUCAGCAGGGACAAAUUUGUUUGCAGCAGUCCUUUUCCUUGUUGCACACAUUACAAGAAAAAGAGAAAGAGAGGAAUUUAAUAAACGUACAUCAGUGUUCUUUCUGACAGGUUUUUAAAUUUUCAAACGCUGUGCUCGAAAUUGCAAACUUAUUUUGUCUAAGUAUAAUAAUUUUUACACAUUUCAUAAAAUGUCGCAGGAUCUAACCGGUAUGCUGCAAUGUCUUUCAAAGGUAAGCAGAAUGCUGGCGGCUCGGAUUCGAUUCCCAGUCUUGCCUGUACUUUCCAUUCGUUUAAGGUACUGCUUGGUUUGCAUCAGUAUUUGCCUCGACUGGCGUCAGGUAGAUAAAUCUGACAUAGACAGUGAGCAUGACUGGCAGUAAGUGACACCGAUUAUCAGCGCUAAAUUAGAAACACUCAGCUGUUUGAAAAAGGCACAACUUUCAAUAAUACGAGUAAUUAUAUGAUUUAGUUUGUUGAUAGAUCUAGUUAAAGAGAUAAUUUUCUGAUUGAUAAUCGAAGAUAUUGUAUAAAGAUAGGCAUUAUAGUAUAUAGAUUCUAAAGACCGAGAUAUUAUAGCCAAACGGAAAGAUGGAUAUUAAAAUUGUUUUUGUUUGUGUGUUUCAUUUUUUAUUUCUUUGUUAUGUGUUUGUUAUUGAAAAUCAAAUUGCACUAUAGCCGCAUUUGUGGAAUUUUGUUGAAGAAAACAUAUGGUAAAAGAGAACUGCAAGAUCAUUUUAUUACGUUAAGCUCGCGUAAUAUGGAUGCAACUGCAUACCUGCAGCCAGUAUUUCUUCGUAGGCGAGUUUCCUUCAAACUGGUGAUAGGGGACAAGAGGGUGUUGCAAAAUACAUAACAUCUCAUAAACAAACUCAACUCAACCGGGUCUUAUAAUAUUUUGUUUGUUGCAUACUAUGCUUCUACUGUUUUACUGACUGAAACAAACCUUAUUAAUGAGCUGCAAAUGAUGAGGCACCAUAUCUUGCCAUAACAUAUAUGAAGUACAAGGUAGAAAUAUAAACAGAUUUGCUGUUGUGUAUGUAAACAUAUUUCAAUGAUAAAUACUUCUGUAUCUGACUUUUGCAUUCGACAUUUAGAAACUAUAUGUAUUUUCUUUUGUUUUGAAACCACUAAAACACCAAAAUCGUAGAAGAAAAGAGUUUUGUUUUACAUGAAAAUUGAACAAGAUAUAAAACAUGUAUGUUACUCUGUAAAAUGAGAAAUUUCAAUUUACUGAUACUAAUAGUUCAAAUAGGAGCCUAGUUUCUUCUCAUUUACUGGUGGCUGUUCUUAAAAUGAAACUGACGAAUGAGGUAGACAAACGAAUUUUUAAGGACUUGUUUUAGAUCAAAUCGUUCUAAACAUAGAAGACUGGCUUGUGAUCGAAUCCAUGACUGUGAAAACGAAUUACUUGGAUAAUCUGAAUCAGUCAAGCACUGUAUUCGAAUAUUUCGAUGCUUCCGUCGUUUCAAGUACAGAGCACGUUGAUCUAAUUGACAUUAUCUUUUAUAUGCAAGAAAAUAAGAAAUUUCAAUAUUUCGAUAUUUCGGCAG